CUGCAACAUCUUCGUCUCGCUCAUCCGGAACUGAAUGUUUGUUGUUGGAGUCGUUGAUUUUGAUGCUAAAUGAUUAUAGUUUUUGUUGUAUAUUUGCGCAUUUUAUUAAACGCACAAUAAUCUCCUCGUUAUGGGUGGCUACGGGGUGAUGGCAGAUGAGGAGUCUCUAGAUUAUUCGGUACACGAAGCCUGGAACGAGGCCACUAAUGUUUACUUGCUGGUUAUUUUGGUCAGUUUCGCCCUGCUAAUGUACGCCAGAAAAAACAAGAGGAAGAUUAUGCGCAUAUUUACACUGCCACCGACAGUCGGCAGCUCAUCGGAGCCAAACUUCUACGACAGUCUGCAGAAGGUCCGACUCAGACAACAACUGGAAAUGUAUUCACUGGCUCGUAAAUAUGACCAGCAGCAGUCGCAGUCUGAGAGUGUGCAGCUGUCAAUGGAGUGAUUUGACCAGAGGAGGCGCUCUUCGCCCAUCAAUGCUGCUCAUGUCAAUAAAGCCGCUUCUGAUCCGCGGUGGAAUCUUUUCCCCAGAUGAAUCACAGAAAAGCUAAAGAAAUGAUGCCUUUCCUCGCCUUAGUCAUCAGCCUCCCCCUCCUUCUGUGCUUUCCCUCAGGUCUCUGUGGAAAUAAGAUUAACAAACUCUUUUCUUUAUCAUUUUUCAACCUCUAAUAAUUUUAUUCUAUAUCUGCCUUUGCCUUUAUACAAAAUGCCAAGAGUCUCAUCUCAAAACAUAAGCUGCUGCAGAACAAAAAGAGAAUUCUUUAAGAAUGUUCCUGCAGCCUUUUCCAUCUGUCAGAAAGCUUUAAAAAGCAUCACAUCAGCAUUCCAUGAGACUAUAUAUACGUGCUAUAUUUAAAGUCUUCUCAAGUCAUGUGAUGGCUUUGUGGGACAAACAUAGGGACAAUAUGAAAUCUUUUAUGACAGGUUUGAUGCCAUGACUUUUUUUUUUGUUAAAAAUCAUGCAGGGAUCAGUGGUGUUUAUUGUAAUAAUCGAUGUCAAAAAGCAUUUAAAUAAUAGAGAAUGAGUCAUAUGAACUGUUUUAUGGGGAUUAUUAUUUUUAUUUUUGUUCUUUCUGAAUAUUGGUAGAAAAAAAAAUAUUUAAGUUUUUUUAUUUAAUUUAAGCCCCGAAGAAUUUGUUAUUACAUGUUGUGAUUAAUGAGAAAAUUAGCAAUAUGAAGAUAAUUAAAAGUAAGACCGAAAUCUUCAACUGGGUCAGACAAUAUAUACUUUGUUCAAGCAUGUACUGGCUGAUAUACUUUUUAAACAUGAGCUUGAAAUGAAAACAUGAGAUGAUAUCUCUCAAUUCUCUCUUGGUGGUGAAAAAUAUUAAAAUAAAACGAACUGAAAGAUG